CCCGGCGCCGCUGCGCCCGCCGAGGGAGCGUGGGGAUAUUGCGGCCCCACCUAGCCCAGCGGCUAUGCGAGGGGGCAGCUGGUCGGGCGCCGCCGGUUGGACUCGCAGAGCCAGGCGCUCACAAGGCUCAGGACAACGUGGCCGCGUCCGAGCGGAUCCCGGCAGCCCCGCAGACCUCACCCCGGCGCGAGCGGAAGGGGCGGCUCGGGGGCGGGGCUUGGCUCAGGCCUCCUGCGCACGGCAAGAUUUCCUGGAUUCAGGCCUGGAUGAUUUCCUCCGCAGAGCCUGGAAUGUGCACGUGAUGGUAGGAGGUUGACCAGCUGUCCUGGACCAUGAGACAAUCUUGAGGAUGGAAGCCUGCACUAAGAUGAUAUAGUAAAAGAUGAUUGAUUGGACUUCCCUGGUGGCACAGUGGUUAAGAAUCCUCCUGCCAAUGCAGGGGACAUGGGUUCCAGCCCUGGUCUGGGAAGAUCCCACAUGCCACGGAGCAACUAAGCCUGUGCGCCACAACUACUGAGCCUGUGCUCUAGAGCCCGCGAGCCACAACUACUGAGCCUGCACGCCACAGCUACUGAAGCCCACGUGCCUAGAGCCCAUGCUCCACAACAAGAGAAGUCACUGCAAUGAGAAGCCUGUGCACCGCAAGGAAGAGUAGCCCCCAUUCACUGCAACUAGAGAAAGCCUGUGUGCAGCAACAAAGACCCAAAGCAGCCAAAAAUAAAUAAAUUUAUUAA